rnacentral:rRNA from 1 species
AUUGAACGCUGGCGGCAGGCCUAACACAUGCAAGUCGAACGAGUGGCGGACGGGUGAGUAAUGUCUGGGAAACUGCCCGAUGGAGGGGGAUAACUACUGGAAACGGUAGCUAAUACCGCAUACCAUCGGAUGUGCCCAGAUGGGAUUAGCUUGUAGGUGGGGUAACGGCGCACCUGGGCGACGAUCCCUAGCUGGUCUGAGAGGAUGACCAGCCACAGUGGAACUGAGAAACGGUCCAGACUUCUACGGGAGGCAGCAGUGGGGAAUAUUGCACAAUGGGCGAAAGCCUGAUGCAGACAUGCCGCGUGGAUGAAGAAGGCCUUCGGGUUGUAAAGUACUUUCAGCGGGGAGGCGUUACCCGCAGAAGAAGCACCGGAUAACUCCGUGCCAGCAGCCGCGGUAAUUC